rnacentral:rRNA from 1 species
CAGUCGCCACGGUAAUACGAAGGGUGCAAGCGUUAAUCGGAAUUACUGGGCGUAAAGCGUGCGUAGGCGGUUUGUUAAGUCUGUUGUGAAAUCCCCGGGCUCAACCUGGGAAUGGCAAUGGAUACUGGCAAGCUAGAGUGUGUCAGAGGAUGGUGGAAUUCCCGGUGUAGCGGUGAAAUGCGUAGAUAUUGGGAAGAACACCGGUGGCGAAGGCGGCAACCUGGCUCAUUACUGACGCUGAGGCGCGAAAGCGUGGGGAGCAAACAGGAUUAGAGACCCCAGUAGUCCCUGUCUCUUAUAC